rnacentral:rRNA from 1 species
CUGAAAUUUGCCUUCAUGAAGCCGGAAUUGCUAGUAAUGGCAGGUCAGCAUACUGCCGUGAAUACGUUCCCGGGCCUUGUACACACCGCCCGUCAAACCAUGAGAGUUGGCAACACCCGAAGUCGGUAGUCUAACCGCAAGGAGGACGCCGCCGAAGGUGGGGUUGAUGAUUAGGGUUAAGUCGUAACAAGGUAUC